rnacentral:rRNA from 1 species
GUAACCUGCCUCAUAGAGGGGGAUAGCCUCCCGAAAGGGAGAUUAAUACCGCAUAACAUCAUGCUGACGCAUGUCAGAAUGAUCAAAGGAGUAAUCCGCUAUGAGAUGGACCCGCGGCGCAUUAGCUAGUUGGUGAGGUAAAGGCUCACCAAGGCGACGAUGCGUAGCCGACCUGAGAGGGUGAUCGGCCACAUUGGAACUGAGACACGGUCCAGACUCCUACGGGAGGCAGCAGUGGGGAAUAUUGCACAAUGGGCGAAAGCCUGAUGCAGCAACGCCGCGUGAGUGAUGAAGGCCUUCGGGUUGUAAAGCUCUGUCUUUUGGGACGAUAAUGACGGUACC